rnacentral:tRNA from 1 species
GGAAGGAUAGCGAAGUGGCUAAACGCGGCGGACUGUAAAUCCGCUCCUUUUGGUUCGGGAGUUCGAAUCUCUCUCCUUCCA